AGUUCCGUGGAAACCCGCUCGCCUGCUGCAGUACGGACCCUCAGGCGGACAGAUGGACUGUAGGGUACAUAUGGAAACUACAGUGUCCAGACCGGUCCUUUCUCCAACCCACAUCAAUGCUACAGCUUCUGAAACAUUCACAGUACUUCAGCAAAGGAUGAGAAUAGUUGAGGAACAGACCAGUUCACUGAGGGAUGACCUAAUAAUGUUGGAUUUUGGUGAAAAAAGAACGUGCAGAUAUCUUUCAACAAGGAACAUGAAGAAAAUGCAUAUUUGAGGUCCGAAAUAAUGUCUCUUCAUGAAGCAUCAGAAAAAGCACAAGUUUUGAAUGACCAAUUGACUAAAAAGUGUUCAGAGUUGAGCUGCAUGCUUCAGACUGUUACUAUGGAAAAAGCCAGAAUCAUUGCUGACCAUCAGGCUAUUCUGCAGGUAGAGCAGAAAAUGAUGUCGCAGACAUUUCAAGAACAAAACUUAUUGCUGGAUGCAGCCCAUGCUAGUAUCACAAAUGAACUACAGACUGUUCAGAAUGAGAAAACCCAACUCCAAGCACAUCUG
rnacentral:sRNA from 1 species